rnacentral:rRNA from 1 species
GACGAACCUUGCAAACGUUAUUCGGAAUCACUGGGCUUAAAGGGUGCGUAGGCUGUGCAGAAAGUUGGGUGUGAAAUACCUCGGCUUAACCGAGGAAUUGCGCCCAAAACUACUGUGCUCGAGGAAGAUAGAGGUGAGCGGAACUUAGGGUGGAGCGGUGAAAUGCGUUGAUAUCCUAAGGAACACCGGUGGCGUAAGCGGCGUACUGGGUCUUAUCUGACGCUGAGGCACGAAAGCUAGGGGAGCGAACGGG